CAAUUAUCGGCGGCUAUAGUGAGCUCAGCGAUAUUUUCUUCUCUAGAACUCGGAGCUCGUCGGCGGUACGCCGAGACAAAGUGUAUUGAAAUGCCACCACAAUCAAUACGUAAAUCAUGGCAAGAGGACGCCAAUCGAACAGCCGACGGGCAAAAAGCCAUCAUCAAAGACUUCGACUUCGCAAGACUCUUUUUAAGGGCGCUCACAAGUAUGCUUGUGAGUGCAACGCCGACACCUGCGUGAUCAUUCGAACCCGGGAAGAUGGCAAAACUUUCUAUUUUAUAACAGAUUCGUUCGAAAAUUUUUUACCUAUGCCCCA
rnacentral:sRNA from 1 species